CUGAUUUCUUAGACCCAUAUAGAAGAAAUAAAGUAGAUGUUUAGGCCGGGCAUAGUGGCUCUCCCCUGUAAUCCCAGCACUUUGGGAGGCCAAGGUAGGUGGAUCACCUGAGCUCAGGAGUUUAAGGCCAACCUGGGCAACAUGGCAAAACGCCGUCUCUACUAAAAAUACAAAAAAUUAGCCAGGCAUGGUGGUGCAUGUCUGUAACCCCAACUACUCGGAAGGCUGAGGCAGGAGACUCACUUGAACCCGAGAGGCAGAGGUGGCAGUGAGCCGAGAUAAUGCCACAGCACUCCAGCCUGGGCGACAGAGCGAGACCUGUCUCAAAAAAAUAAAGUAGAUGUUUAUGUUCAUGUGUUUCUUUCCACAGGCUUUGGAUGAAGAGUAUUUAAAAGUAGAUGCCCAAUUUGGAGGCGUUGAUCAGAGAAAGAUUUUUACCUUUGCAGAGAAGAUGAGAACACUGAGGAUAGAAGAUAAGAAGUUGUCCAAUAUCACACAUACCUCCCUGCACUUGGCUAUUCAAAACGGGUCCAUCUGAUGAAUCCUAUGGUUCCAGGAUUAACAGGCAGCAAAAUGAGCUCUUCAGAAGAGGAGUCCAAGAUUGAUCUCCUUGAUCGGAAGGAGGAUGUGAAGAAAAAACUGAAGAAGGCCUUCUGUGAGCCAGGAAAUGUGGAGAACAAUGGGGUUCUGUCCUUCAUCAAGCAUGUCCUUUUUCCUCUGAAGUCCG
rnacentral:sRNA from 1 species